CCUCACCCCUCCCAUUUUCUCCCUUCCGCCCAGAGACACCCCAUGUGUACCUCCUCUAGCGGGACACCGGUGCCAACCAACUGAGCUCCAUUUCUCAGGGACAUGAAGGCUCGGAGAGGAGUGACAAAUCCAAGGCCACGCAUCUAGAGGGGCCAUGCUGAAACUGGAGUCCAGACCUGAUUGACCCCAAAGCCCACUGGCCACUCAGCCAUCAGGAGGAACGAUGCUACAGGUCCUGCAUGACUCGGGUCUCAGCUGGCCCUGCAGCAAGAACACUGGCCCCUCUUCUGCACCUGCUUUCACACUGACCUGGGAAGAGCUAGACUUGACAAAUCUCACUCCGCCCCCCCCCCCAGUGGGUGCCCCACCAGGAUGAGUCUCUGUGAUCACCUAGCCAUUAAGUGAUGACUUCCGAGGGGAUGAAGCCUGUCAUGCCCCUUCACAGACCGUUUCCUCACCUAAAAAGAGACAUGGCAUUCUCCUCUUCCCUCCUCCCGUUUGUGAAGACUCAUGAUUUUGUUUGGGGGAAGGGUUAAGAAGGUGCACAUGUAAUUCACAAUAUGACAUUUUUGUUGUCAUGAUUUCCCAAAUUGAUUGUGGCCUGAGAACCCACUGUCUUUGAGGUCUCUGGUCAGGGCUCUCUCUCCCUCUCUCUCCUUCACACACGGCUGUUUAUAUAGGCAGGGAUUAAAUACCGAGUAAGAAAGGACAGUGCCCACUGGACAACAAAGUAGCCCUCCCCUAGACUGCAACCCCAUAAUCCCAUGGACCCCCUGGCAGGUGGUGCUCCGAGAGGCCUGUCCCCCACCCAGUCCUGAUAACUUAAUUCUCACUUAAGUCACCAAGGCCCAGGAGGCAGGCAGGCAGGGAGGAAGGAGUGUCUUCUGUCUCUUAACCUGCCCCUUCCCUGGGGGCCAGGCCUCUGGUAAGUCUUGAGGGGAUCCCCACAGGAUAGCAAGGCUCAGGAUGGGGAUCUCCACAGCAGAGAAGGCAGAGAUCAGGUUACAAACAGAAAGCUGACGACCAUUUUUAUUUUUCCCUGGGAUGCUGGUG